CCUACGGGGGGCUGCAGUGGGGAAUAUUGGACAAUUGGGGCAACCCUGAUCCAGCCAUGCCGCGUGUGUGAAGAAGGCCCUCGGGUUGUAAAGCACUUUCAGUGAGGAAGAACGCCUGGUGGUUAAUACCCAUCAGGAAAGACAUCACUCACAGAAGAAGCACCGGCUAACUCCGUGCCAGCAGCCGCGGUAAUACGGAGGGUGCGAGCGUUAAUCGGAAUUACUGGGCGUAAAGCGCGCGUAGGUGGCUUGAUAAGCCGGUUGUGAAAGCCCCGGGCUCAACCUGGGAACGGCAUCCGGAACUGUCAAGCUAGAGUGCAGGAGAGGAAGGUAGAAUUCCCGGUGUAGCGGUGAAAUGCGUAGAGAUCGGGAGGAAUACCAGUGGCGAAGGCGGCCUUCUGGACUGACACUGACACUGAGGUGCGAAAGCGUGGGUAGCAAACAGGAUUAGAUACCCUAGUAGUC
rnacentral:rRNA from 1 species